rnacentral:rRNA from 1 species
GAUGAACGCUGACAGAAUGCUUAACACAUGCAAGUCAACUUGAACUUCGGUUUGGGUGGCGGACGGGUGAGUAACGCGUAAAGAACUUGCCUCACAGCUAGGGACAACAUUUGGAAACGAAUGCUAAUACCUGAUAUUAUGAUUAUAUGGCAUCGUAUAAUUAUGAAAGCUAUAUGCGCUGUGAGAGAGCUUUGCGUCCCAUUAGCUAGUUGGAGAGGUAACAGCUCACCAAGGCGAUGAUGGGUAGCCGGCCUGAGAGGGUGAUCGGCCACAAGGGGACUGAGACACGGCCCUUACUCCUACGGGAGGCAGCAGUGGGGAAUAUUGGACAAUGGACCGAGAGUCUGAUCCAGCAAUUCUGUGUGCAAGAUGAAGUUUUUCGGAAUGUAAAGUGCUUUCAGUUGGGAAGAAAAAAAUGACGGUACCAACAGAAGAAGUGACGGCUAAAUACGUG